ensembl:lncRNA
CACAAAGAGGCAACAGCAGGCAAGGAGCCUGGGGCAGCGAAAGGCUUAGUGUGCGUGGGUUUCACCCCACCUCAGUUCUCUGCCAUCCAUCUUCUCAGGCUGUGCGAGAGGAAGAAGGAAAGGCUGGAAGCUGCCCUUGGACAAAACUUCUGGUAUGAUCGGUCUUCUCUGGUGGAUACCCUACAGCAGAGCAAGAAACCAGGAGGAGCCAGCUAGUAGAUGCAUCCUCUGAACCUAUCCUGGCUUCAAGAACCUGGUGGGGCAGCUCUCGAGUCCAUUACCUGCCAUGCCUUGUCUGCAGUGCCUAGAGAAACAAGGACUGGAGAAGGACGCCUUGAACCUGAGGAGGAACAUCACUGUUACCCCACGGCUUCCAAAGAAGACAGGCUUCAGAAGUAAAGGAAUAGUAGACGUGCUUCCUGGAAACUCUCAGAUCUUACACUGGCAGCACACAGGGGCACAGCAGCUGGACUGACUGCAGCAGGG